AACGUACGCUGGCGGCACGCCUAACACAUGCAAGUCGAACGAAGUAGCAAUACUUAGUGGCAGACGGGUGAGUAACAUGUAGGUAUCUGCCCUUUGGCCUGGAAUAACACGAGGAAACUUGUGCUAAUACCGGAUAAGUCUUUACGGAGAAAGCUUUAUGCACCAUUGGAUGAGCCUGCACUUGAUUAGUUUGUUGGUGGGGUAAUGGCCUACCAAGACUGUGAUCAAUAGCUGAUUUGAGAGGAUGAUCAGCCACAUUGGGACUGAGACGCGGCCCAAACUCCUACGGGAGGCAGCAGUGGGGAAUCUUGCACAAUGGAGGAAACUCUGAUGCAGCGAUGCCGCGUGAGUGAAGAAGGCCCUUGGGUUGUAAAGCUCUUUCGUCGGGGAAGAAAAUGACUGUACCCGAAUAAGAAGGUCCGGCUAACUUCGUGCCAGCAGCCGCGGUAAUACGAAGGGACCUAGCGUAGUUCGGAAUUACUGGGCUUAAAGAGUUCGUAGGUGGUUGAAAAAGUUAGUGGUGAAAUCCCAGAGCUUAACUCUGGAACUGCCAUUAAAACUUUUCAGCUAGAGUAUGAUAGAGGAAAGCAGAAUUUCUAGUGUAGAGGUGAAAUUCGUAGAUAUUAGAAAGAAUACCAAUUGCGAAGGCAGCUUUCUGGAUCAUUACUGACACUGAGGAACGAAAGCAUGGGUAGCGAAGAGGAUUAGAUACCCUCGUAGUCCAUGCCGUAAACGAUGUGUGUUAGACGUUGGAAAUUUAUUUUCAGUGUCGCAGGGAAACCGAUAAACACACCGCCUGGGGAGUACGACCGCAAGGUUAAAACUCAAAUGAAUUGACGGGGACCCGCACAAGUAGUGGAGCAUGUGGUUUAAUUCGAAGAUACGCGCAGAACCUUACCAACACUUGACAUGUUCGUCGCGACUCUAAGAGAUUAGAGUUUUCGGUUCGGCCGGACGAAACACAGGUGCUGCAUGGCUGUCGUCAGCUCGUGUCGUGAGAUGUUGGGUUAAGUCCCGCAACGAGCGCAACCCUCACUUUUAGUUGCCAUCAUUAAGUUGGGCACUCUGAAAGAACUGCCAGUGAUAAGCUGGAGGAAGGUGGGGAUGACGUCAAGUCCUCAUGGCCCUUACGUGUUGGGCUACACACGUGCUACAAUGGUAUCUACAACAGGAAGCAAGACUGCGAAGUUAAGCAAAUCCCUAAAAGAUACCUCAGUUCGGAUUGCACUCUGCAACUCGAGUGCAUGAAGCUGGAAUUACUAGUAAUCGUGGAUCAGCGUGCCACGGUGAAAUGCGUUCCCGGGUCU
rnacentral:rRNA from 1 species